CCAAUAGCGUAUAUUAAAGUUGUUGCAGUUAAAAAGCUCGUAGUUGAAUUUCGAGAUCAGUACGCUGGUCGUGCCUUUGGUAUGCACUGGUGUCACUGGUUUCUCCCUUCUGAAGAACUGUCAUGCCAUUCAGUUGGUGUGGCGGGGAAUCAGGACUGUUACUUUGAAAAAAUUAGAGUGUUUAAAGCAGGCUUGCGCUU
rnacentral:rRNA from 1 species